rnacentral:rRNA from 1 species
GUUGAUCCUGCCGGAGGUUACUGCUAUCGAGGUUCGACUAAGCCAUGCGAGUCGAAUGUAGCAAUACAUGGCGUACUGCUCAGUAACACGUGGACAACCUACCCUUAGGACGGGGAUAAACCCGGGAAACUGGGUAUAAUACCCGAUAGUCCUCGACUGCUGGAAUGCAUCGAGAACUAAAGCUCCGGCGCCUAAGGAUGGGUCUGCGGCCUAUCAGGUAGUAGUGGGUGUAGUGUACCUACUAGCCUACGACGGGUACGGGUUGUGAGAGCAAGAGCCCGGAGAUGGAUUCUGAGACACGAAUCCAGGCCCUACGGGGUGCAGCAGGCGCGAAAACUUUACAAUGCUGGAAACAGCGAUAAGGGGACCUCGAGUGCCAGGUUACAAAUCUGGCUGUCGUGAUGCCUAAAAAGCAUUGCAUAGCAAAGGCCGGGCAAGACCGGUGCCAGCCGCCGCGGUAACACCGGCGGCUCGAGUGGUAACCGUUAUUAUUGGGUCUAAAGGGUCUGUAGCCGGCCGGAUAAGUCUCUUGGGAAAUCCAGCAGCUCAACUGUUGGGCUUUCAGGAGAUACUGUCUGGCUCGAGGCCGGGAGAGGUGAGAGGUACUUCAGGGGUAGGGGUGAAAUCUUGUAAUCCUUGAAGGACCACCAGUGGCGAAGGCGUCUCACCAGAACGGACCUGACGGCAAGGGACGAAAGCUGGGGGCACGAACCGGAUUAGAUACCCGGGUAGUCCUAGCCGUAAACGAUACUCGCUAGGUGUCGGCCACGGUGCGACCGUUGUCGGUGCCGUAGGGAAGCCGUGAAGCGAGCCACCUGGGAAGUACGGCCGCAAGGCUGAAACUUAAAGGAAUUGGCGGGGGAGCACCACAAC